AUGACUAUGUGAGCAUGACUGGUGGUUCCGUCCUAAAUAAUUAGCGCACCACUUAUAUUCAGCCAAACACAUGAAUUGAAUGGUUCAAUCCCAAAAAAAUUGAACGGUCCCAACCCAUUCGUACGACACCUUCAACCAAACGCAUCCUUAGUCGCCUGCCCGAGAGGAAAAGACGAAACUGCCUGCUGGCUGCGCCUUUUUUUAUUUUUUGUCUCGACUAUUUUUUUACUGCGACUGGAGGGAGUAUCUAACCUCGGCGAAAAGGGUGGCAAAUCCCAAUCCGACUGUCUCCGCUGGUGGUACCAACUCCGAGCAGAUCUCCCCUCUUCCUUCGAUUCGUGGUUGAAUUCGAUUCCGGAGCGGUCUUUCAACGAUCAGAGUCCCUAAGGUAAGAUCGCUGCAGAUCGCUGCUAGCUUUGUUCGUUCCGCCUCCACUCCAGCAAAUCAAAUGGAGCCUCCGCGCACAAGCCUCAAGUCUGGAUCUUGCGAUGAUCUGAAAAACGGGCGCAGAAAAAUGAUGGAGGAGUAUGAGGCUGGACUUGCUGGACUUUUGGAGCUUCAGGCGCUCGAGCGCGAGAUGCGCGAACUUGUCCCCGCAGCGACCAGCGCAAUCGCGCUCCUGGCCACUCCAAGGGUGGGUGAUACGAGGGAGACCUACUGCCAUGUUUGCCAUGAUGAUUUCGAGGAGGGGGACAAGCUGAGGGCGAUGCCCUGCGCCCACUCUUUCCAUCAGCGCUGUAUCUUCAGGGCGCUCAGUGUUAACCGUCUGUGCCCAGUCUGCAGCUACGAACUUCCGGGGGACUACUUGGAGAUGCCUUGAAACCGCUCAUGAAAGAUUGUUUCCUGUGAUCCUUUCUUAUGCAGCGUUAUGUAUAGUUCAUAAUUAUGCGUUUCUUUAUCUAUCUGUAGUGCAGAUCAGCAACUUUUGUCAUCUCCUUGGAGAAUAUUGCUCCUACAACAUUAUUCGGGUUAACUCUGCUA